UUAAAAUAUUUAAAUUUCAGGUGUUGAAAAAUCACUGUGAAAAGUGUUAAAAAGACUAAAAGCAAAGUGGGUUUAUAAAACAAAGUCCCACAAAUCAGAUUGUAUCAUAAUUUUUAUGCACAGUGGUUAUCAUUUACCCCUCUAUAGCAAACCAUUUUGAUUAUUUAGCAUAUUAAUUCAUUAAUAUGCUAAAUAAUCACAUCUAAUUUGGUAAUAUCUUCUCAUAAUUGAUAAGUUCAGGUUGUCUUUUAAGCAACUAUGGAGUAUCAAAAUAAUUCCAAGGUAAAAUAUAGUACUUUGAGUUUAGUGUCUUACAUACUAUAUUUUUCCCCCCUUCAUUUCCAGGACUCCACUAUUGUUACUCCAAUUAUUCUGAGGACUGAUCCACAAGGAUUUUUCUUUUAUUGGACAGAUCAAAAUAAGAGAGAUCCUAAGAUUCAAAUGAUCUCAGGUCAGAGACCACAGACCUGAGAAUGAACGUUGGUCCCUGCAAGAUACCUGCACAUUGCCAUAGCACCUCAGGGAAUGAUGAUCAUUCCCACUUCAGCCCCAGAAAUGGCAGCCUUUCCACUCAGCAGAUGGAAACAGGACCCUGGUAGUGUAGCAAAGAUUUAUGAUUCCUGAGUUCUUGUACUGUGAGUGUCUAACAUGGGUUCUUAACCUAGGGUUUAUGACUUUUAAAAGGCAAGUAAAAACUUGAGAUGUAGGGGAAUUCUAUCUAUUGUUUAUAGGCCAAUGUGAGUUCCUUAUGUGUUUUCUUUAUCUUCUGUGGGAUGAAAUAAAGGCUGUUUGAUACCUG
rnacentral:lncRNA from 1 species